UACAGAGGGUGCAAGCGUUAAUCGGAUUUACUGGGCGUAAAGCGCGCGUAGGCGGCUAAUUAAGUCAAAUGUGAAAUCCCUGAGCUUAACUUAGGAAUUGCAUUCGAUACUGGGAGGCUAGAGUAUGGGAGAGGAUGGUAGAAUUCCAGGUGUAGCGGUGAAAUGCGUAGAGAUCUGGAGGAAUACCGAUGGCGAAGGCAGCCAUCUGGCCUAAUACUGACGCUGAGGUACGAAAGCAUGGGGAGCAAACAGGAUUAGAAACCCCAGUAGUCC
rnacentral:rRNA from 1 species